rnacentral:rRNA from 1 species
AUACGGAGGAUCCGAGCGUUAUCCGGAUUUAUUGGGUUUAAAGGGUGCGCAGGCGGCCAUUUAAGUCAGCGGUUAAGUCGUGGGGCUCAACCCCAUUCUGCCGUUGAUACUGGGUGGCUUGAUUGCGGUCGAGGUUGGCGGAAUUCGUUGUGUAGCGGUGAAAUGCAUAGAUAUGACGAAGAACACCGAUUGCGUAGGCAGCUGACCAGACCGCAAAUGACGCUCAUGCACGAAAGUGCGGGGAUCGAACAGGAUUAGAUACCCUGGUAGUCCGCACAGUAAACGAUGAAUACUUGUUUUCGGCGAUAUAAUGUCGGAGGCAAAGCGAAAGCGAUAAGUAUUCCACCUGGGGAGUACGCCGGCAACGGUGAAACUCAAAUGAAUCGACGGGG